CAGUAGCCGCGGGAAUACGAAGGGGGCUAGCGUUGCUCGGAAUGACUGGGCGUAAAGGGCGCGUAGGCGGAUGGCACAGUCAGAUGUGAAAUUCCUGGGCUUAACCUGGGGGCUGCAUUUGAUACGUGUUGUCUAGAGUGUGAAAGAGGGUCGUGGAAUUCCCAGUGUAGAGGUGAAAUUCGUAGAUAUUGGGAAGAACACCGGUGGCGAAGGCGGCGACCUGGUUCAUGACUGACGCUGAGGCGCGAAAGCGUGGGGAGCAAACAGGAUUAGAUACCCGCGUAGUCCCUGUCUCUUAUAU
rnacentral:rRNA from 1 species